CAUCCAGGUUCUACUACUGUCCUCAGCAACAAUGAGCAUCAACAGAAGAGGGAAAGCACUACAUGGUGACAGAUGAGUCAUGUGCUACAAGAAUCACACACUUGGCUGCAGAACUAAAGUCCAAACCAUGACAGACUAUGCAGAAGGUUUCACUUGCUUGAUUUUCAGUGGCAAAUGUCUAACCCUUUUCUUGGAGAACCCAUAUGCAAGAGAUUUUUCAUAUAUUUCAUGUACUUCAGUUCAGCCUACUGCAUGCAGGAAAGUAGAGAAGUUCACCUGAUGUGACUGUGGAGGAAGAAAAAGGAAGAGAAAGCUGGACUGCAGUUUUGCAGGCUUAAUAACUUUAGUUGUAUUCAUCGUGUCUAGGAGCCACCAUCUCUCACCAUCUCUCAAUAUUGCACAGAGUCACUG